rnacentral:rRNA from 1 species
GACGAACGCUGGCGGCGUGCUUAACACAUGCAAGUCGUACGGUAAGGCCCCUUCGGGGGUACACGAGUGGCGAACGGGUGAGUAACACGUGAGGAACCUGCCCUUGACUCUGGGAUAACAGUGGGAAACUUCUGCUAAUACCGGAUAUUCAGAUUCUGCCGCAUGGUGGGGUUUGGAAAGCUUUUGUGGUCAAGGAUGGUCUUGCGGCCUAUCAGCUUGUUGGUGAGGUAAUGGCUUACCAAGGCUUCGACGGGUAGCCGGCCUGAGAGGGCGACCGGCCACAUUGGGACUGAGAUACGGCCAAGACUCCUACGGGAGGCAGCAGUGGGGAAUAUUGCACAAUGGGCGAAAGCCUGAUGCAGCAACGCCGCGUGCGGGAUGACGGCCUUCGGGUUGUAAACCGCUUUCAGUAGGGACGAAGCGUAAGUGACGGUACCUACAGAAGAAGCACCGGCUAACUACGUGCCAGCCGCCGCCGUAAAAC